rnacentral:rRNA from 1 species
GACGAAGGGGGCUAGCGUUGUUCGGAAUUACUGGGCGUAAAGCGAGUGUAGGUGGUUGUCACAGUCAGGUGUGAAAGCCUUGAGCUCAACUCAAGAAAUGCACUUAUACUAGGCGACUAGAGGACCGGAGAGGAUAGUGGAAUUCCCAGUGUAGUGGUGAAAUACGUAGAGAUUGGGAAGAACACCAGUGGCGAAGGCGGCUAUCUGGACGGUUUCUGACACUAAGACUCGAAAGCGUGGGGAGCAAACAGG